rnacentral:rRNA from 1 species
AUGACUAGGGAUAACCUUAGGAAGAGACACAUCAUCAAACCCCUUGAUUGUGUUUACUGCUUGGAACAAGAGUCUUGUUCUCACCUAUUUUUUGAAUGUAUAGUUGCUAAACAUCUCUGGGCCCACAUUGAGGAAUAUUUCUCUAGUCAGAUUGGCUCAUCCUUUGAAUCUGUCUCCAGAUUCUGGAUUGCUACCAAAAAGUGCUCAGUUUUAAACACUGUUAGCUCAGCUGUCCUUUGGUGCCUCUGGAAAUAUAGAAAUGCUAUGAUUUUCAGUAACACCUCCGGGAUUUCCAUUCGGCAGGUCUUUAGGUUGAUCAGGAACAUGGUGAGGAACUGGGCGAUUCUCUCCUCCGGAUCGGACAAGGACAAGUUGAUGAGCUUCGUGGAAACCCUAACAAGAUCCCUCCAGAAACCGUUGGCGAUCACUUCUGGCUGA